rfam:Camelus ferus unplaced genomic scaffold scaffold1541, whole genome shotgun sequence.
GAGGGUAUAGUUCAAGUGGUAGAGUGCAUGCUUGGCACACAUGAAGUCCUGGGUUCCAUCCGCAGUACCUCCU